ACUACCCAUCAAAAAUUUAGACUCACUAGUGUAAAUAUAUCCACUAACUUCAGUCAGCUGUUCCAAACUAGAUUUUGCAAAAUAUUCCAUACUGUUUAAAGGUACUGUUUACACAUGAACUAAUGUAUUGUAAAAC